rnacentral:rRNA from 1 species
CAGCCGCCGCGGUAAUACGUAGGUGGCAAGCGUUGUCCGGAAUUAUUGGGCGUAAAGGGCUCGCAGGCGGUUUCUUAAGUCUGAUGUGAAAGCCCCCGGCUCAACCGGGGAGGGUCAUUGGAAACUGGGAAACUUGAGUGCAGGAGAGGAGAGUGGAAUUCCACGUGUAGCGGUGAAAUGCGUAGAGAUGUGGAGGAACACCAGUGGCGAAGGCGACUCUCUGGUCUGUAACUGACGCUGAGGAGCGAAAGCGUGGGGAGCGAACAGGAUUAGAUACCCCAGUAGUCCCUGUCUCUUAUAA